rnacentral:rRNA from 1 species
UACGGGGGGGGCAAGCGUUGUUCGGAAUUACUGGGCGUAAAGGGCUCGUAGGCGGCCAACUAAGUCAGACGUGAAAUCCCUCGGCUUAACCGGGGAACUGCCUCUGAUACUGGAAGGCUUGAGUAUGGGAGAGGUAAGCGGAAUUCCAGGUGUAGCGGUGAAAUGCGUAGAUAUCUGGAGGAACACCGGUGGCGAAGGCGGCAUCCUGGACCGGCAUUGACGCUGAGGCGCGAAAGCCAGGGGAGCAAACGGG